rnacentral:rRNA from 1 species
UCGAGAAUCUUCCGCAAUGGACGAAAGUCUGACGGAGCGACGCCGCGUGAUUGAUGAAGUCCCUCUGGGACGUAAAAAUCUUUUAUGAGCUACUAAGUUUAUUGAAGAGCUCAUGAAUAAGGGGUUGCUAAACUCGUGCCAGCAGCAGCGGUAAUACGAGUGCCCCGAGCGUUAUCCGGAAUCAUUGGGCGUAAAGGGUGUGUAGGUGGUCGUGCUAGUCUUUCGUCAAAACCACGGGCUUAACCUGUGAUCUGCGAAAGAAACGACACGACUGGAGGGUGCGAGGGGUGAAUGGAACUCAUGGAGUAGGGGUGAAAUCCGUUGAUAUCAUGGGGAACACCAAAAGCGAAGGCAGUUCACUGGCGCAUUCCUGACACUGAAACACGAAAGCGUGGGUAGCGAAUGGGAUUAGAUACCCCCGUAGUCC